rnacentral:lncRNA from 1 species
CCUCCCGGUGCCACCCUUGGGUGCCCGCAGGGGACCUGGCGCUGCUGCUGCGGGCGGGCGCUGCCCCGCGCUCGCUGCUGCUCCUCUCGCUGCUCUCGGCGCUGCUCUCGGCCCUGGGGGCGCUGGCGGGGGUCGCCCUGGGGGGCAGCGGGACCCCCCUCGCCCCCUGGCUCCUCACCGCCACCGCCGGGGUCUUCCUCUACGUGGCCCUGACCGACAUGCUCCCCGAGGCGCUGCGGGGCUCGGCCGGGGGCUCCUGGGGCCGCUUCGCGCUGCAGAACUCGGGGUUCCUGCUGGGGGCGGGCACCAUGCUGGGCAUCGCCCUGGCCGAGGGGCACCUGCGCUCCUGGCUGCGAACCUGAGACCCCCCCGGACCCCCGGGACACCCCCCGGGACCCCCCCGGGACACCCCCGGGACCCCCGCCCGGACCCCCGCCUUGGAUAUCCCUCCCCCGUUCUCCAGAAUUCCCGGGGGGAUCCGCGGUGCCGCCCCCCGGAGGGGAUUUGGGGUCCCCUCGUUCCCCCAGGGAGGAUUUGGGGUCCCCUCAUUCCCCCCCGGGAGGAUUUGGGGUCCCCUCGUUCCCGAUUUGGGGUCCCCUCGCUGCCCCCCGGGAGGAUUUGGGGUCCCCUCAUUCCCAAUUUGGGGUCCCAUCGUUCCCGAUUUGGGGUCCCCUCGCUGCCCCCCGGGAUCCCCCUGAGGAGCUCAGGAAGGGGAACAACCCCAAAGCAAAAUUGGUUUAAUAACCGGAAUUGGUUUAAUAAACAAAAUUGGUUUAAUGACCAGAUUUGGUUUAAUAACCAGAAUUGCUUCAAUAACCAAAACUGGUUUAAUAACCAAAACUGGUUUAAUUACCAGAUUUGUUUAAUAACCAGAAUUGGUUUAAUAACCAGAACUGGUUUAAUAACCAGAAUUGAGCCAGAACCGCAAUAAAACCCCGGGAUUUGCUCACAGUUACAGGGGGGGGAAAUAAAUCAACUUUGAACGGUUUUGCCGCGUUUUUUUGGGGGGUUUUCCCUCCUUUUUAAGAAUUAAACGAAGCAGAAUUUCCAGAAAUUCCGACCUGGGACAUCGGAGAGAAAAUUGGGAUUUUUGGGGUUCUCUGGAACCCCUCAAGAUUCUGGGACCCCUCACGGUUUUGGGACUUUUUAAGGUUUUGGGGUUCCCCAGGAGGGUCUGGGACCCCUCAGGAUUCCGGGACACCUCAAGAUUUUGGGACCCCCCAAAAGUUAAAUUUUGGGACCCCCCUCAGGGGGUCCUGGGACCCCUCAAGAUUUUGGGACCCCUGAAGGUUUUUGGGACC